GAAUUUUCUCCUUGUGGAGGCUGCCUGAGCAGAGAGUGUGGAAGGCUAUGUACCUGGUUUGGAUUUUUCAGCGAGUCCUGACAAUGUGGGAUUCAAAAGAUCCGUUGAUGAAUUGCCUUGCUAAACAAGCGAGCCCUGGGAAAAUGAAGCUUAACAAAGAUCACCAUGAUACACUUAAUAACCAGCAGUGACCCUAUCAUCCAUGGGAACAGAUAGUCAUCAUGGCCUCCUGGUCUGGACCACAGGAGAGGCGGGUGCAUGCAGCUGAAAGGAGCAGCACAUGCUGCUGAAGGAGAUAGGUUGUCA